rnacentral:snRNA from 1 species
UUGGCUGGGGCGGCACAU